rnacentral:rRNA from 1 species
AACGAACGCUGGCGGCAUGCCUAACACAUGCAAGUCGAACGAGACCUUCGGGUCUAGUGGCGCACGGGUGCGUAGCGCGUGGGAACCUGCCCUUAGGUUCGGAAUAACUCCCCGAAAGGGGUGCUAAUACCGGAUAAUGUCUUCGGACCAAAGAUUUAUCGCCUUUGGAUGGGCCCGCGUUGGAUUAGCUAGUUGGUAGGGUAAAAGCCUACCAAGGCGACGAUCCAUAGCCGGUCUGAGAGGAUGAUCAGCCACACUGGGACUGAGACACGGCCCAGACUCCUACGGGAGGCAGCAGUGGGGAAUAUUGGACAAUGGGCGAAAGCCUGAUCCAGCAAUGCCGCGUGAGUGAUGAAGGCCUUAGGGUUGUAAAGCUCUUUUACCCGGGAUGAUAAUGACAGUACCGGGAGAAUAAGCUCCGGCGAACUCCGU